rnacentral:rRNA from 1 species
GACGAACGCUGGCGGCGUGCUUAACACAUGCAAGUCGAACGGAAAGGCCCUGCUUUUGUGGGGUGCUCGAGUGGCGAACGGGUGAGUAACACGUGAGUAACCUGCCCUUGACUUUGGGAUAACUUCAGGAAACUGGGGCUAAUACCGGAUAGGAGCUCCUGCUGCAUGGUGGGGGUUGGAAAGUUUCGGCGGUUGGGGAUGGACUCGCGGCUUAUCAGCUUGUUGGUGGGGUUGUGGCUUACCAAGGCUUUGACGGGUAGCCGGCCUGAGAGGGUGACCGGCCACAUUGGGACUGAGAUACGGCCCAGACUCCUACGGGAGGCAGCAGUGGGGAAUAUUGCACAAUGGGCGGAAGCCUGAUGCAGCAACGCCGCGUGCGGGAUGACGGCCUUCGGGUUGUAAACCGCUUUCGCCUGUGACGAAGCGUGAGUGACGGUAAGGGGUAAAGAAGCACCGGCUAACUACGUGC